rnacentral:rRNA from 1 species
AGUGAACGCUGGCGGUAGGCCUAACACAUGCAAGUCGAACGGCAGCACAGUAAGAGCUUGCUCUUACGGGUGGCGAGUGGCGGACGGGUGAGGAAUACAUCGGAAUCUACUUUUUCGUGGGGGAUAACGUAGGGAAACUUACGCUAAUACCGCAUACGACCUACGGGUGAAAGCAGGGGAUCUUCGGACCUUGCGCGAUUGAAUGAGCCGAUGUCGGAUUAGCUAGUUGGCGGGGUAAAGGCCCACCAAGACGACGAUCCGUAGCUGGUCUGAGAGGAUGAUCAGCCACACUGGAACUGAGACACGGUCCAGACUCCUACGGGAGGCAGCAGUGGGGAAUAUUGGACAAUGGGCGCAAGCCUUAUCCAGCCAUACCGCGUGGGUGAAGAAGGCCUUCGGGUUGUAAAGCCCUUUUGUUGGGAAAGAAAAGCAGCAGGUUAAUACCCCGCUGUUCUGACGGUACCCAAAGAAUAAGCACCGGCUAACUUCGUG